UGGGGAAUAUUGCACAAUGGGCGCAAGCCUGAUGCAGCCAUGCCGCGUGUAUGAAGAAGGCCUUCGGGUUGUAAAGUACUUUCAGCGAGGAGGAAGGCGGUAAGGUUAAUAACCUUAUCGAUUGACGUUACUCGCAGAAGAAGCACCGGCUAACUCCGUGCCAGCAGCCGCGGUAAUACGGAGGGUGCAAGCGUUAAUCGGAAUUACUGGGCGUAAAGCGCACGCAGGCGGUCUGUCAAGUCGGAUGUGGAAUCCCCGGGCUCAACCUGGGAACUGCAUUCGAAACUGGCAGGCUAGAGUCUUGUAGAGGGGGGUAGAAUUCCAGGUGUAGCGGUGAAAUGCGUAGAGAUCUGGAGGAAUACCGGUGGCGAAGGCGGCCCCCUGGACAAAGACUGACGCUCAGGUGCGAAAGCGUGGGGAGCAAACA
rnacentral:rRNA from 1 species